rnacentral:rRNA from 1 species
AGCGAACGCUGGCGGCAGGCCUAACACAUACAAGUCGAACGAAGUCUUCGGACUUAGUGGCGGACGGGUGAGUAACACGUGGGAACGUGCCUUUAGGUUCGGAAUAACUCAGGGAAACUUGUGCUAAUACCGAAUGUGCCCUUCGGGGGAAAGAUUUAUCGCCUUUAGAGCGGCCCGCGUCUGAUUAGCUAGUUGGUGAGGUAAAGGCUCACAAAGGCGACGAUCAGUAGCUGGUCUGAGAGGAUGAUCAGCCACAUUGGGACUGAGACACGGCCCAAACCCCUACGGGAGGCAGCAGUGGGGAAUCUUGCGCAAUGGGCGAAAGCCUGACGCAGCCAUGCCGCGUGAAUGAUGAAGGUCUUAGGAUUGUAAAAUUCUUUCACCGGGGACGAUAAUGACGGUACCCGGAGAAGAAGCCCCGGCUAACUUCGUGCCAGCCGCCGCGGUAAUAC